rnacentral:rRNA from 1 species
GAUGAACGCUAGCGGCAGGCCUAAUACAUGCAAGUCGAACGGUGUCUUCGGACAUAGUGGCGCACGGGUGCGUAACACGUAUGCAACCUACCUUACAUUGGGGGAUAGCCUUUCGAAAGGGAGAUUAAUACCGCAUAAGACAGUAGCUGGGCAUCCAGCAGCUGUUAAAGAUUUAUCGAUGUAAGCUGGGCAUGCGUCCAAUUAACCAGUUGGUGAGGUAACGGCUCACCAAGGCAAUGAUUGGUAGGGGAACUGAGAGGUCAAUCCCCCACACUGGCACUGAGAUACGGGCCAGACUCCUACGGGAGGCAGCAGUAGGGAAUAUUGGGCAAUGGACGCAAGUCUGACCCAGCCAUGCCGCGUGCAGGAUGAAGGCGUUAUGCGUUGUAAACUGCUUUUAUACAGGAAGAAACGACUCUUGCGAGAGGCAUUGACGGUACUGUAUGAAUAAGCACCGGCUAACUCCGUGCCAGCCGCCGCAGUAAGAC